rnacentral:misc_RNA from 1 species
GUUCGUCAUCCGUUCCCAUGUGGCCAUGUCAGUGUAUGCAGGUGUACGGACAUUUCGGCAACCACGCAUUUUUUGACGAUACGGGCACACCCCCCACCAGAGAAAAAUGGACGAACACGUCAAAGAAAGCAUUAUGGAAAUGUGCUCAAUUAUAGUUUAUCUGAAGACGAUGGAGACGAUGACAAAGAAGAGGUAUUCCAUGAAUAAGUCAUAUCGAUAAAAACAUAAAAACAUACAAAGACGCAUUAAGAUAAAAAAUCUACAACAGUUUGCUAUUGCCCAACAAGAUGAUAAUCAUCUUUAAAUGGUUUCAUCAAUCAAACAACAUACAGAAGGAAAAAUAGCAACAAUAGCGACAAAAUAAAAAACUCUAACAUGAUUUUUGGAAAAGAUAAAUGUUUAAAUUUAGUACCCAACCUUCAUACUUAUGUA